CGGUAAAUCAAGCCCUAGACGGGACUAAUUUGCUAGAGUUACUUAUACGGGGGUUUUAAAGUACUAAUGGUGUAGAGAUAAAAUUUUGUAAUACCAUUUUUUGAAAGAAAAGUGAUGGCACUGGUAAAGGCGAAAGCAUCCCCUUAUGUGAUAACUGACGUUGAAGGACGAAGGCUUUGGAUCGCAAAUAGGAUUAGAUACCCUAGUAGUCGAAGCAGAAAAUUAUGAAUGUCAUAGAUUAGAGAUUAAUUUUAUUCUAUAAAUGAAAGUGUAAGCAUUCCGCCUCAAGAGUAAUUUGGCAACAUUGAAACUGAAAUCAUUAGACCGUUUCUGAAACCAGUAGUGAAGUAUGUUGUUUAAUUUGAUAGUCCGCAAAAAACCUUACCACAGCUUGAAUAUUUAUAUAUUUAUAUAUAUUUACAAGCGUUGCACGGCUGUCUUCAGUUAAUGUCGUGAGAUUUUGGUUAGAUCCAUUAAAUUAACGUAAGCCCUUACUUUAUUUAUAAAUAAAGUAGUUCCCCACUAUAUUGGAUAUGAUAACAGGGACUAAGACAAGUCAUCAUGGCCUGAAUGCUGU
rnacentral:rRNA from 1 species